rnacentral:rRNA from 1 species
AUCGCCAGAGAACUACGAGCGCAAGCUUAAAACUCAAAGGACUUGACGGUGUCCCACCUACCUAGAGGAGCCUGUUCUAUAAUCGAUAAUCCACGAUAUACCUCACCACUUUUAGAUACAUCAGCCUGUAUACUUCCGUCGCAAGUUCACCAUGUGAAUGCAUAAGUGAGCCAAAGGGUUAAACACCAAAACGUCAGGUCAAAGUGCAGCCAAUAAAGUGGAAAGUAAUGGGCUACAAUUUCUAAUUCUAGAACAUACGAAAAAUCAUCUGAAACUAUGAUCAAGAAGGUGGAUUUAGAAGUAAAUGCAACCGAGAGUUCAUUUUACAUAGCCUGGGACGUGUAC